UGGGGAAUUUUGCACAAUGGGGGAAACCCUGAUGCAGCGACGCCGCGUGAUUUAGAAGGCCUUCGGGUUGUAAAAAUCUUUUCUAUGGGAAGAAAAUGACAGUACCAUAGGAAUAAGGACCGGCUAAUUACGUGCCAGCAGCCGCGGUAAUACGUAAGGUCCGAGCGUUGUCCGGAAUCAUUGGGCGUAAAGGGUACGUAGGCGGGUAAGCAAGUUAGAAGUGAAAUCCUAUAGCUCAACUAUAGUAAGCUUUUAAAACUGCUCAUCUUGAGGUAUGGAAGGGAAAGUGGAAUUCCUAGUGUAGCGGUGAAAUGCGCAGAUAUUAGGAGGAAUACCGGUGGCGAAGGCGACUUUCUGGCCAUAACCUGACGCUGAGGUACGAAAGCGUGGGUAGAAAACAGG
rnacentral:rRNA from 1 species